CUGACCAUAUUGAGCUGCAACAUGUGUUGUCUGAUAACCAUAAAUAUCUGCAGCCGCUACCUGAGCAGCCUCUUGGAGUAAAAGCUCUGCAACUUGGAUUGCACCCCGAACAGCACUCCAGUGCAAUGCUGUCUGCCCAGUAUGAUCCACUGCAUUUACAUCUCCUCCAUGCUCGAUGAUAUAUUGAGCAGCGGCAGUCCGAUUAUUCAAAGC
rnacentral:misc_RNA from 1 species